rnacentral:tRNA from 1 species
GGUGGCUCAGUGGAUAGAGUGCUUGCCUUGCAUGCAUGAGGCCCUGGGUUCAAUUCCUCAGCACCA